AACGAACGCUGGCGGCAGGCUUAACACAUGCAAGUCGAGCGCACUCUUUUAGAGUGAGCGGCAAACGGGUGAGUAACGCGUGGGAAUCUACCCAUCUCUACGGAAUAACACAGAGAAAUUUGUGCUAAUACCGUAUACGUCCCUCUGGGAGAAAGAUUUAUCGGAGAUGGAUGAGCCCGCGUUGGAUUAGCUAGUUGGUGAGGUAAAGGCUCACCAAGGCGACGAUCCAUAGCUGGUCUGAGAGGAUGAUCAGCCACACUGGGACUGAGACACGGCCCAGA
rnacentral:rRNA from 1 species